rnacentral:rRNA from 1 species
UAGGGAAUCUUCCGCAAUGGGCGAAAGCCUGACGGAGCAACGCCGCGUGAGUGAUGAAGGUCUUCGGAUCGUAAAACUCUGUUAUUAGGGAAGAACAAAUGUGUAAGUAACUAUGCAUGUCUUGACGGUACCUAAUCAGAAAGCCACGGCUAACUACGUGCCAGCAGCCGCGGUAAUACGUAGGUGGCAAGCGUUAUCCGGAAUUAUUGGGCGUAAAGCGCGCGUAGGCGGUUUUUUAAGUCUGAUGUGAAAGCCCACGGCUCAACCGUGGAGGGUCAUUGGAAACUGGAAAACUUGAGUGCAGAAGAGGAAAGUGGAAUUCCAUGUGUAGCGGUGAAAUGCGCAGAGAUAUGGAGGAACACCAGUGGCGAAGGCGACUUUCUGGUCUGUAACUGACGCUGAUGUGCGAAAGCGUGGGGAUCAAACAGG